rnacentral:misc_RNA from 1 species
GAUGAAGAACGCAGCGAAACGCGAUAGGUAAUGUGAAUUGCAGAAUUCCGUGAAUCAUCGAAUCUUUGAACGCACAUUGCGCCCCCUGGUAUUCCGGGGGGCAUGCCUGUCCGAGCGUCAUUGCCGCCCUCAAGCACGGCUUGUGUGUUGGGCCCCCGCCCCCCGGCUUCGGGGGGCGGGCCCGAAAGGCAGCGGCGGCACCGCGUCCGGUCCUCGAGCGUAUGGGGCUUCGUCACCCGCUCUGUAGGCCCGGCCGGCGCCCGCCGGCGACCCCAAUCAAUCUUUCCAGGUUGACCUCGGAUCAGGUAGGGAUACCCGCUGAACUUAAGCAUAUCAAUAAGCGGAGGA